rnacentral:tRNA from 1 species
UAGCUCAAUCGGUAGAGCGUGAGACUCUUAAUCUCAAGGUUGUGGGUUCGACCCCC